rnacentral:rRNA from 1 species
UACCAGCACCCCGAGUGGUCGGGACGAUUAUUGGGCCUAAAGCAUCCGUAGCCGGUUCUACAAGUCUUCCGUUAAAUCCACCUGCUUAACAGAUGGGCUGCGGAGGAUACUAUAGAGCUAGGAGGCGGGAGAGGCAAGCGGUACUUAGUGGGUAGGGGUAAAAUCCGUUGAUCCAUUGAAGACCACCAGUGGCGAAGGCGGCUUGCCAGAAUGCGCUCGACGGUGAGGGAUGAAAGCUGGGGGAGCAAACCGG